AGACUUCAGAACUGCCGGGGAAGAUGAUGGAAAAGUGCAUCUGACCUUACUCAGCUCUGCCUAUUGCAUGAGUCAAGCUCUUUGUGGCUCACUGUUUGUUUAAUGGGGUCCACAGUGAUGGAUUCUUGGUGAUGUACCCUUCGUGACCCAAAUUCAAAAGUGGACAUUCAAGUCAGCUCCCACAAAAGCUGCUGCAGAGCCCCAAGCGUUCAGGUCCCCAGUGCGAAUGGGUAGAAUCAUCACUCAGGCUUGUGGGGACUCAGCGACGCCCAAAUGUGUUUUAAGGGCAUGUUGGUCACCAUAUCAUUCUUGGGCAGGACCGCGGGACCUUCCCAGAUGUUACGAAAUUAAAGAUGGAGAUGGUAGUUGAGUAAUCACUUUUCAGCCCUAAAGUGCAAAGUUGUUUUUCUUUCAAAAUUCCAGCUUGUCUCCUCUGUCUGAAAGACUCAUUUUUUCAGCAGUCCAGCCGAUGACAUCACUGGAGUAGGAGUUAUGUAAUUUAAGCCCACCACACUUCCACAGGGCUUCCCAGAACAGAAGAUACCUCCAGAGGCCACUCUCACCAUCAGAAAGCCCAGCUGAAGUUGCGACCUCUUUCACUUUGGAUGCUUUUCCAGAAGAGGAGGAGGAAGGAUGUUUGAAACAGGAGAGUACAUCUGGCAGCUCUUUACCUCAAGGUCGCAUGAAACAUGCAGAAGCUGAAUACAGUCAUCAGAGCUCCGUGUGGACUCUGACCAGUUACAGUCUACAAAUUCCAAUUUAUAAAAAUCAAAUUGGUCUCCCCAGGAUCGCUUACAAAAUUUCAUAAUGCCAAUAACUGGUUGGGUUAUUUGUGGAUUGAAAACAGUAUCUUAUGAUGUGAUUGGGUUGACAUCCUUUAAUAUCUAUGUCUGUAUUUCAAAUGCCUUUAUCAUCACCUCACUGUUGAAGUUGGAAUUAAUUUGAAGAAGGCUAAUUUGUUGAAGAAGUAGCACGCACCAGUGUUCUAAUGUGCAGAACUCAGAAAGUAUCACAUAGAAAUUACAGAAUCGAUCAUGUCUAGUAGACUUGCCCAAUGUCACUCUUGACUUUUUCAGGUAAGAUCAAAUAUGACUGAUCAUAUCAAUAGCUGCUGGGUUUUGACCACGUACUAUGUGCCAGGCAAAUAUCAGAGCUAAGACUCGGAACCAACAAAGGAAGCUUCCUCCUCUCUUGCCAACUUUACGUAAACACAGGCAGCAGCUGGUAAAGACGACCUCCUGAAAAUAGGCUCGGCUUGAGCAAACAUGUGCCGUGGCCACGGACCCAGCCGGGUCCCAUGGGAUGGCGGGCAGUGUCUGCUGAACCAAUCAGAUUCGAGCUGAAGUAAGAGGUUUCUGCUGCUGGCAUAGGUGACAGUUCCUGGUUUCCUGGGCAGGGUGAAGCCUUGACCCGUGUAUUACUGUCCAGUUGCUGUUGUAACAAAUUAGCACAAAGCUAGCGGCUUCAAACAACACAAAUGUGUUAUCUGAUAUUCCUGGAGGUCAGAGGUUCAAAAUCAGCCUCACUGGGCUAAAGCCAAGGUUGGCUGGGGUUGUGCUCCUUCUGGAGGCUCGAAGGGAGAAGCCGUUCCUUGCUUUUUCUGGCUUCUAGAGGCUGCCUGUGUUCCUUAGCUCAUGGCGCCUUCUCCAUCUUCCAAGCCAAUGGCAUAGCAUCUUCUACUCUCUUCCUGCCUUUGACCGCCCGCUACCUCCCUCUUUUACUUAUAAAUGAAAUCACUUUCACUCGUGAUGACGUCAAGCCCACCUCCAUAAUCCAGCAUCAUCUCCCCAUCUCAAGAUUCUUACCUCAACCCCAUCUGCAAAGUCUCCUUUACCAUGUAAGGGAACAUAUUUGCAGGUUCCAGGGACUAGGAUGUGGACACCUUUGGGGACCAUCAUUCUGCCGACUGCACGGCUCUGGGGUACAGCCCAUGUUUUUGUCUGGUGGUGCCCGGGCUGCCCCUGCCUCUUGCUGACCUGUGGUCCCUCAGGAGCACACAGGAGCCAGGCCCCCUCCACUGCCUCCCCAAGCCACCCUUUCCUGCCCAGACACCCACACUUCAGAGGGGACUCGACCCCUGUCUCACACGUUCAAGGUGACCUGGAGGAGGAAAGGGAGGGAAGCAAAGCAGACCACAUCCGGGGUCUGUCUCAGCAUCCACAACGAACUGCUCCCCUCCUUCCAGCUUCUCCUUAAACCUCCUGGUGGUGAAAGCUCCAAGGCUGGAGACGAACGAGAAUCCCACUGCCAAGAAGCCAGGCCCUCCUGGAACUCGGCUCUCUGGAAUUUUAGUUCCUUAGUUUCCUAGUGUGCUAGGUGCCAGGUAAUCCCUGAACAGCUCAGGAAGAGCAGAAAAGGGGUCUCUUGGUACUUUCCAACCUCGUGUUCCGACACCAGAGUAGCCCACAUGAAGGAGAGGUUGCUUACACUCGGAGGGACCAGGACACGUUAUCAUCACAUUAUUACUACCGUAGUCAUCACCAUUAUUAUUGUCGUGGUGGUCAUCAUCAUCUGAGCUUCAUAUUUGAUGCUUUGCAGCCUACAAGGGGAUUCUACAGGUAUAAUCUCCUUCAAGCUUCACCAUGACUCUUUGUAAUAACUGCCGUCAUUCCCAUUCUACAGACGAACAAACUGAGGCUCAGAGAAGUUAUCUGACUUGCCCAGAAUCACAGUUUGGUGACCCCAGGACCCAAGCCCAGGCUCCCUAACACCAGGCCCAUUCUCUUUACGGUCAUAGCACGCUAGGUAGAAGAGGUCUGACCCUGAGCUGGGCCUGGAAGAAGAGCCAUGUAUAAACAGACUGGCUCCUAUCGCCGUAUGAAUGUAGGCAAGUCACUUCACUUCUCUUCACCUCUGUUUGCCCGUCUGUACAAUGGGCACAAGACAGCCAUCUCUCCUCCCAGGCAUGUUGUCAGGAUCAGGUUACCUGAAGCCCAGCACAGCCCACAGAUCACAGGUGUGGCUGACAGUGAAGGGUCGGAUCUGGCAUCAGGGGCUUACUCUGCAGCCCCAGCGUCGGUGGGAGAUUGGGGCUGAGACGAAGAUGCUCGGGUUUUCCAUGGCACAUAGAGCUUCCUUAGCACGUGCAGCGAAGCACAUGGGAAGGAAUGGCAUGAGGCCCAAUGGCAGUCUUAGGAAGCAGUUCCCACAUGUGUGUGUAGUACAAGGGGGCUGCCAGGGGGAGGGGGCGUGGAGGGGCCCCCAGGUAUCUGAGUGUAUUGCUUUCCUGUGGCUGCCAAAGAAAUUACUACAAGACACUUAAAACUGAUUAUAUUAUGUUGAUGGAGUUAUCAAGCAGUUCUAAUCAAAAGCUGUUUUUAAAAAAUAUGUAUAUUUAAUUAUACAUACAUGUAUGCAUAUGUACACACACACCCCCCCAACUAAUUGGUUAUAUUACAUUAAUGGAGCUAUAAAGUAGCUCUAGUCAAAAAUAUUUUUUCCAGAAAAGUCUAAAUAUAUUCAUCCAUCUACAUAUAUUAAGGCAAAAUGAAAGAUUUUCUUUAUGCUAAUUAACUGAACAUUGAAAAAUAACAUAAGCCAAAUAAUUAGUUUGGGUACAUAUGCAAGUGCUACAAUUAGCUUCUUGGGCUUGUACCUGACUCUCAUACGUCUUUGGCAUUUUCCAGAGAAUGUAUUUUUCUCUCAAUAUGGUCUUAUUAUUUUUAAUGGUUCCAUAUAAUUGCCUGAACUUUUUUUCCUUCAAAUUUUAUGGUUAAUAAAUUUAAAUUAGCACCUUCAAUGGACUCUUCUCUUGGACCAGAAAAUAUUUAAUGAAGAAAAUGUUCUCUCUGCAGGUGUUGAGGUAUCUGAUAAACUCUGAGCAAUUCUGCCAAGCAGAGGCUAUUCUCAAGUCUAAUUCUUUGCAUAUGGAAUUAUGUAAAUAUUUCAGCUCAGAUAUUUUCACGGGUGCUGUCUUUUUGCCUUAGUUCGAGCUCCUUCAGCAAAUAUUUUCACCACAUUAAACUCUUCAGAUAAGUUGUAGCUAUUUAUAAGUUUUGAUUGCUUUGUCAGAUUUAGAUGUGGCAGAUCAGGGGCUGUCCCAAUUUCAUCUCAAUUUUGUACAAAAUAUGAACUUCUCCAAUUGAAAAGAUGCUUCCCACAAAUUGAGACAUCCCAAAGCUCAUUAUAAAAUUCAACAAUUAAACCUUGUGCACCAUUUGACCACUCAUCGCUUAGUUUGAUCAUUUUCUCCCGUGCCUUUCUAGCUAUAAAUUUCAAUUAUUUUCUGCAUAAAAUUUUGUUUUCAAUAACUACAAUCUGCUAAAAGCUCUAAAAGCUGCUGCUUCAGUGCUCCACUCAUUGAAUACUUGUUCGAAGAUUCCUCAUCGAUUUGGAAUAAAAUUCUACAAAAUUUCUCAACUCUGCUGUAACAAAUAGUUGAGUAACAUUUUACAGCACUUAGUGUCUUCUGAAAUUGAUUUAUGAUGGGCGGCAGAGAAAGAAAAUGCACGCUAGAGUUGUUUUAAUUCCUCAUCCAGGGAAUUCCCUGGCGGUCCAGUGUGUAGGACUCUGUGCUUUAAUUGCCGAGGGCAUGGGUUUGAUCCCUGGUUGGGGAACUUCACAAAGAUUUCACAAGCCUCACGGCACGACCAAAAAAAAAUUCCUCAUCAACUUCAGCACAAAAGUUCGUAGUUCAGUAAUUCUGAACUACAAAUCUUACGUUUUAGGAUUUUGUAAAUCUUGUCAAAUAUAACCUCCAUAUCAAUUGGUAAAAUACUGAAACUCGUUUAUAUGCAAUUACAAAUUGUGUGUGCAAAGUUACACAUUCAUCAUUGACUUCCCUGAGAGACAGAAGUUCAGGACUUAAAUUGUCAUUAAACGUUCUUUUUUUGCUCAUUGUUGCCAGAAGGACUCAUUGCAAAAUUGAAAAGUAUUGCCAAAUAACAAAAUAAAUACUUCAUUGUGGAUUUAUGCCCUGAAAUCAAUGACAGAAGAAGAGUGUCCUUUCUCCUCCAUACACUCUGGGUCAGAACCCUGUAAGCCACGGAUAUGUCAUAGCCUCCGAACCCUUCGUUUCCCGUGUCCUCUGCUGACCUGUCAACUGGCAGCCCAGCAGCUGAUUCUCUUCUCUGCCUGCACUCUCCCUUGGUGCUUUCAUCCAGUCCUGUGGCUUUAAAUACCAAAUACCAUCCAUGUGAUUACAACUCCCAAUGGCGUAUCACUGUCUCAGACGUGGUCUCUCAACACCAGUGCUGUGCAGCCAACUGCCCCAGUAUCCCCACCUGAUGU